GCGUAGUUGGCGGGUCCUACAGGAACAGUCGCCUGGGGCGCCGCUCCUUUGGAUGGUGGCCACCAGCUCUGGGAGCAGAGCCUGAGAGACUCAAGGGAUGCUGCUUUUUGGGUUCUAGGAGCCUCUAAAGCUAAUCCUGCAAGGCUUCUCAGCUUUGGGACGAAAUGCAUGCCCCUAUGCAUGUCAUUUCCGGGGAAGUAGAGCGCUUGUUUUCUGGGUUAGCUUGAGGGAGGAGUAGCUAUCCCCCGAGACAUUCAUUAUGUUGGGAUUUUUGCUGUUGUUUUGUUUUGUUUUUGUCCUCCCUUCCCCCUAGUGUUGGCGGCCAGAUCCUCUUAGCAGGCGACAGGGUGGCGGCCUGGGUGUUUGCUUCUGAGGCUGUGCGAUCAUCUGUGCGAGGAUGCACGUUUCUGGCCCGCAUCGCGCGCGCGCGGACACACACACACACCCGUUGGUCUCAGUUGGGAGGGGCGUUUGGGGUGCUAUAUGAAGUUCUGCACACCGCUCUCCCCUCUCCCCCACCAAGAAGGGCGACUUUAAAAAAAUAGUUUAAAUCUUAUGGAUUGUUUCCCUAGUUCAGCGUUCACAGAAGUAGACAACCUGGAGAAAGCCCAGUCUUUAUCCUGCCCCACUCUUGGAGCCUGCAAUCCCGUCUAUGAAGCAAAACUUCAUAACCGUUGAGAAGAAUAAAAGAAACUCAACACCUUUGCAAGCAAUUCUGUUUCUAGACAUGAUGGGUUCCAUAAAUGCAGACUAAACCGAGUUCCCAGGUCCAGUUCUCCAUCCACACACUUUAGACCACAUCCUGGGUCCUUUUAAAGUUCUCAUUGCACUUCACCCUACUGUUCAGAGCCUCAGCCCUCACAGCUCCUCUGAAAAGCUCGCUUCGCUCCUGUCACAAGCUGGAAGCUCACCUCCAGACCCCUCUCUUCAUCCAUCUUCUCCAUCUUCAGAGCCUCAUAUCACCUGCCUCCCUUGACGCCAUCCCAUGUUUCCCCCUAAAGUGACGGAGCACCCUGCACCUGAACCAGCAUGACCUCUACUGCAUAGCUUUUAAGUUUUCUGGGUCAGUGGCACCUACAGUAAGGUCUUGUUUGCUUUAGCCAAUGUUGGCCGUUGUGCAGAGAAAGAAACUAGCAGCAGAUUGGCUGGUAAAAAGAAACGGUUUACAUUGAGGGUGCUUGGUUUUAGAUACCAAUAUUCCUCAAAUUUACUGUGGAAAAUGAGGCUAUCCUGGUGGGCAUGUGGUACUGUGUGCCUCUAAUCAUAGAACUUGCAAAGUAGAGGCAAAAUUUCAUGAGUUCCAGUCCAGUCUAUGCACAUAGGUUCUCCUGAAUUGUAUGUAUAGCAAGACCUUGUACAAAACAAAUGCUAGAACUCUGGGACCCAACACUUGUUUAGCACUAAAAAAAGAAUACCAAUGCUUAUCUGUCUGUCCAUCUCUUUCUGACCGUCUACCCAGUACUUCCAAAGUGUCUUCUGCAUGCCUGGCACAAUGCCGGCACCUGAGAGAUAAA
rnacentral:lncRNA from 1 species